AAAAAAGGAUUUUUUUCGUUCACGAAGUACGUCUAAAAUGCCAUGUCAAGAAAUUAUCGUGAGUUGUGCAAUGACGGCACUCUACAAGCCGGACAUGCAACUGAUUCAUCCAUUUGUAAACAAGAAAGGAGAAUGGCUCGUAAAUAUUAGCAAAAAAGCCUAAGAAAACAARCAUUUCAACUGCUAGAGGAAAUGGAAAUUCAAAUAGUGAGGAGUUUGAAAAAGGUUUUCGCAGUUCAGAUCGUUAAGUGGACAUUAAACCUGUAUAAGCACUCAAGAAAACCAAGCUUAUGGACACUUUGAAUGCACGAGGAGCUGAUAUCUUGAUCUUCGAAGCUGGAAUAAAGAGAUGUGUACACAAGAAUAAUUGCAUUUCACAAGCAAAGACCAACAUAGCAAAAUAAGUAACAUUAAUCCAUGUUUUCAUGUACACUGUGAACAAKCUUUUACAAAACUUUAAUUUCAUAAUGAUUCUGGUCUUAGAAACCAAGAAGGGAAUUUAUAUAAACAAAAAUAUCCUGGUUGUAACUUGCUUCAUGCAAACAUCCUUCCAGUUAAAAAGCCCUCACCCCCUGGUUAUAAGUGAAGUUAUAGUAGUUCAUGUUUAUAUUUUUGAUACACUAGGAAGAGAUUGGAAAUAAAUGAAAGGUUUAUCUUUCCUAGUCUAUUUAUCCUCCUAUC